AGGACGAACGCUGGCGGCGUGCUUAACACAUGCAAGUCGAGCGGUAAGGCCCUUUCGGGGGUACACGAGCGGCGAACGGGUGAGUAACACGUGAGCAAUCUGCCCUUCACUUCGGGAUAAGCCUCGGAAACGGGGUCUAAUACCGGAUAUGACUGCGCCAUGCAUGUGGUGUGGUGGAAAGUUCUGGCGGUGAGGGAUGAGCUCGCGGCCUAUCAGCUUGUUGGGUAGGGUAAUGGACCUACCGAAGGCUUCGGACGGGUAGCCGGCCUGGACGAGGGUCGACCGGCCUAGACGUGGGACU
rnacentral:rRNA from 1 species